UACGAAGGGGACUAGCGUUGUUCGGAAUUACUGGGCGUAAAGCGCACGUAGGCGGAUUUGUUAGUCAGGGGUGAAAUCCCGGGGCUCAACCUCGGAACUGCCUUUGAUACUGCAAGUCUCGAGUCCGAUAGAGGUGGGUGGAAUUCCUAGUGUAGAGGUGAAAUUCGUAGAUAUUAGGAAGAACACCAGUGGCGAAGGCGGCUCACUGGCCCGAUACUGACGCUGAGGCGCGAAGGCGAGGGGAGCGAAGAGG
rnacentral:rRNA from 1 species